rnacentral:ncRNA from 1 species
GGGUGUGACGGGUUGGCCGUCACAGGAAUCUGGAAUGGUCGGGCCGCCAUUC